UGGGGUGUGGGUCAGUGGUAGAGCACUGGCCUAGCAUGCAAGAGGCCAUGUGUGAAGCCCUGAGUUCCAUCCCCAGCACUGAAA
rnacentral:tRNA from 1 species